rnacentral:rRNA from 1 species
ACGACUCUCGGCAACGGAUAUCUCGGCUCUCGCAUCGAUGAAGAACGUAGCGAAAUGCGAUACCUGGUGCGAAUUGCAGAAUCCCGCGAACCAUCGAGUCUUUGAACGCAAGUUGCGCCCGAGGCCACUCGGCCGAGGGCACGCCUGCCUGGGCGUCACGC